rnacentral:lncRNA from 1 species
GACAUGCAUUCACUCAACAACCCCUUCUGGGCACUAAUCAGUGCCAGGCACCAGGGAUAUCAAAACAGGGCCUCCCCCUUGCCCUCAGGGGGUCUGGGGAGGGAGGCAGUCUUGUGGCGGCCUGGAGGGCGCAGACACAGAGGGCCCUGGACCCGGGCUGGGGGUCCUAGGAAGGGUUCCUAGAGGAGGGGUCCAGAGAGCCAGGUGCUCCAGGCCAAGCCAACCGCUUGGACCAGGGCUGCUGGAGCGUCCAUCUUGGUUGAGGAAUGGUGGAGACGAAGCUGGAAGGCCUCCAGCACCAUGUCAGGUGUGGCAUGUACAGCUAAGUCCCGGAGGUGAAAAACGUGUCUACCUGGUGGCAUAUUUUGCUGGGGUCAGGGAAGGGUGUGUGUUUGCCCAGGUGCACGUAUGAUCAUUCACAUGACUGUGUGUGCACAGACGUCCCUGUGGAACCAGCACCUGGUUGGGGAGGUGUGUGCGUUCAAGCAGCCGUAAGGCCACAUGCAUGCGCCUCUGCGUGGAGGAGGACGCGCCCAGAGCCACACGCAGGGGGGUGCACAGGUGGGCCGUGGUCCACAGGCCUGGCGGAUCAGAGGACACCUCCCCCGACCUGCCCAGCCCCCAACUCCUUCAUACUCUCUCCACCAUCCCUUCCAGCAGACCCUCUCGCUAAUCUCUGCCUGGCACCCUGCCAGCUCCAAGGGAGACUGAAGCCCCAUCGGCACAGCACCUGGCCGAAUCCCCAGCAAGGCCACAGUCUAAGUCUCUGAAUUCUUGGUUUGGGGUUGCACCACCCUUCACUUACAGGACCAGCCCUUCCCUGCUGUGUGACCAGUGGCAUCCUACUUAACCUCUCUGAGCCCCUGCUCUUAACUGACGUCCACACCCACAGGUUGCUGCUUGAAUUGCUGUGGGAAGAGGCUGUUCUGUGCUGGUUGAUGGUAAACAAUGAAGAGCCCUCUCCUUCUUUUUCUCCCUGGAAUGGAAGCCAUUUUCAGUCCGUGGCUAUGAGAGGAAGAGGCCUAAGAUCACACAUGACCUCGGGCAGUGGCCUCCCUCCUGCUCAGCUCUCUCACCUGCAGGACAGGAGGGGGACAGGCUCUGGAUGCUCGGCUCCCCUUCCAAGCUCAGCCCCGUGACCUGCCUUCCAGGUUCCCCACAGAAUGGAGGGCACCGUGUUGGGGUGAGCUCACCUCCACCCCACCUCCUCCUGGAGGAGAGCCCCCGCGCACGGCAGGGCCCCCGAGCCUCGGAGGUCUCUGGUCCACGCACCCAGACCCUCUGACCCUCAGGCCCAGGAAGAGGGACAUCAGCCCGAAGGCGCCCGCCCACCGGGGAGCUGGAGAGGACGUGGCAGCCACGUCUGGUGCAGCCUUAACCCGGAGAAGGUGCCAGGAACACGUGUAUUCACACUCCCGCCGCCUCCGAGCCGCAGCCGGCGGGUUGCGAAACGCACUGGCAGGUGGGCUUUGGAAACGGCUUCCGGGGCACCUCUGAGCGAAGGAGGCCACGGGCCAGGCAGGGCUGCUGCGGGCAGACAGGUAGGGGACUCACACGGGGGUGCUGUCUGGGUCCUCGUCCCCAUGGUGUCCCAGCUGUGAGGCCAGCGGCGGGGCUGGGUCUGAGGGAGCCCAUUCGUCUCCUUUGAGGCUCCUUCUCCCUCCAUUUCUUCAAAGGCCAAGUCCAGUCUCCCUGUGGGAAGAGGACGAUGGAAGGUCAGGGCUUGGAGCAAGUGACUUAGUCUCCCUGGAGCCACAACUGUCGACGGGGACGUCAGCAGUGCCCACCGCCCAGGCCUCAAGCUGUCUCUGGUGAGUCCUGCUCCUCUUGGGGGUGGUGUGCUGGCAAUGAGUAACAACGGGCUCUGGCCAGGCCGGGCCUGCAGCCUUGGCCAAUUUCCAUGGUGUAAGCACUCACCCUGACCGAUUCCAGCCAUCGGCAGGACACCUCUGAGCAGGCAUUUGGGGGAGAACUGAGAAGUACUUCGCCUUACGUAGGGCAUUUCCAACAGCCAGACGGAGGUAAAUAAUCCCGAAAGAACAGAUAAUAGCAACCCAAUUAGGAAGUGAUGAACUUCGAGAAAUUAUCGCCUUUGUUUAUAAUAGGAUUUAUUGAAUUGUCAACUUAUAUAAUUCACCUUUUAAAGAUGGCCAACCAGCCGUGAAUUCCUGAGAAUUUAACAGGUUUCAGGCCAGCCGGUGCCUGCGCUGCUAGCCACUGACCUCACUGUUGCCGCGUCACUCUUCCCUGACUUCGCACAGACCACCCCUCUGCGAGGAAUACCCUCUCCGCACCCCUUUCCUCUUGCCAAACGCACACUGUCCCCCCAAUAAUCUGGAUGAUAGAAGUUUCCAAGUCCGUCCUCUGAAGACCCCACCCCAGAUUCAGCGGAACCUCAUCGAACCCUGAGAACGCUGGGAGGUGGACAUUGAUGGCCCCAUUUUCCGGAUGAGGACUGUGGCUUGGCAAGGUCUGUCAGUGGGUGACCUUCCUAGGUGGGGACAGACAGUGCCAGGCAUCUCCUCCCAUGGCGGGGUCCUGGGGGGUCUGAGGAACAUCUUGCCCUCGUGCGUCACCCCCUCUCAUGCCCUUGACCUAAGCACUGGGCCUCGGGCCCUGGAAUGGACCGAGAGCAGGACCGACGCUGGGUGAGGCUAAGGCACCCGUGGAGCCUGGGGACCCACUGCCAAGGGCUGGGAGAGGGUGGGGGAGGGCUGCGCUCAGGGAGGCGCUGACCCUCUCAUCAGCCUGCGGGAGAAACUUCCAGAGGAAUGCAAGUUAUG